UCGUAGGUACAGUUGCAACUGGUGUCUCCUGGUAUCACGCGAUGACCUCGAUGAGCCUGUUGUUCACCAGAGACAAGAACAAGAAGACAAUUUUAUUCGGCGGUGACACAAACCUGGGCAGUAAUAAGAAGUGACUUCUAACGGGAGUAAGGUGAGCGUGUCUUAAGCAAGAGCCAGCAACCAGCAACAAGCAACAACUUACAUUACACAUUACACUUUACUCACAAGAAGACAUAUCUGAGCUGGAGGACAGAGGACACACGUUAUGACCCUGAAAGCACUGGGUUGUUUUAUGUUUGCGCCGCACACGACCAACGACAAGUUUAUUUUAUUAUUUUUAUUUAUUUAUAUAUACCACCGGCAUUUAUUUAUCGCGUGUAAUCACGCAAUGUCAGUCCCCGUCAUCAGUAAUAACGCAAAUUUAUCUAUUUACUAUACACGGAUGUCAGAAGAGUUGAAGUUAAGAAAAAGAAGAAGAAGCAGCAGCAGCCGAAUAAGAAUAAAAGACCCAGAAUAAGGACUUGAAUUUUAUUAUUGUAUGGUAUUGCGUGCACCGGCACACUUUACUGAUUACAAGGUGUUUUCUUCACAUAAGUCUCGAUCUAAAUCAAUCGCAUCAGCUUUGGGGGAUAAGUCAUGCACUAAGCGAUGAUAUGUGGACCCACCAGUGGCGAUCCUUUAGACCGAAGUCUAGGAGAGCUGCAGCGUGUCUGCUAAAGUGUCUAGCCCGAGGGCUAACAGCAGGAGACAGGAGCAGGAGUCUAAAUAAAAAUAAACGAAAGAGGGCUCGUCGAAAAUUGAUGAAUACUAGGGUGGCGCAAAAAAACCGACUAUUUUUUUUUUUUUGAGUCUCGAGCGAAAAAA